GACGAACGCUGGCGGCGCGCCUAACACAUGCAAGUCGAACGGAGUUAAGAGGAGCUUGCUUUUCUUGACUUAGUGGCGAACGGGUGAGUAACGCGUGAGUAACCUGCCCUGGAGUGGGGGACAACAGUUGGAAACGACUGCUAAUACCGCAUAAGCCCACGGAUCCGCAUGGAUCUGCGGGAAAAGGAUUUAUUCGCUUCAGGAUGGACUCGCGUCCAAUUAGCUAGUUGGUGAGGUAACGGCCCACCAAGGCGACGAUUGGUAGCCGGACUGAGAGGUUGAACGGCGACAUUGGGGGUAGGACACGGCCGAGACUCCUACGGGAAGCAGCAGAGGGGGAUAUUGCACAAUGGGGGAAACCCUGAUGCAGCGACGCCGCGUGGAGGAAGAAGGUUUUCGGAUAGUAAACUCCUGUCGUUAGGGACGAUAAUGACGGUACCUAACAAGAAAGCACCGGCUAACUACGUG
rnacentral:rRNA from 1 species